UUCUCACCAUGUCACGAUUUCUGUAUUUGAUUUGAGACCUCGAUUAAAAAAACAUUGAUUGCAUGAUUUUGCCCGUGGCAGUAACCAUAAAACAUGGCGAAUAUGGCGAAUUUCAAGGAUGAGAAAACAUUAAGCAUUAUGAGACGGUUUUCCAAGGCUGCAUUAUAUGUUAAAACCAUGAAACGAUUAAAAUUGUCGACACAUAUCUUUGUUGUCGAGUGGUCGUUUUCAUCUCAUUUAGACUUAAACAAAUAUAAAUGCAUGUAAUAUCGUGAUUUGACCGCUACGACGCUGUAGCGCUAGAGUGUAAUGCAGCCCUAACAAAUCUGCGAUAGAAGAAGAUGGAUGAAAAAACACAGCGCAGGUUAUGGCGAAGUGCAAAUGAAAGUUUUACAACACUUAAAAACCAAGAAUGCUGUCGUGUGUAAUACAUAAAAGACAGAUAUUGCCUUUCACGGGAGCACAUGGUGCAUGUUGGAGCACUUAGGUGGGAGUGAUUCGGAGUCAUCGGAGAAGAGGACCAAAUCCUCUGAAAGAUGCAGAAAUCCAUGAACAAAAGGGCAAGGACAAAGACAACAUAACCAGAAAAUAUAUUAAUCCCAUCAAAGCUCGUCCAUGAGCCUGUCGUUUCAGGAAGUGAAGUCACAUCUCCUAAAGAGGUUUGUUAAUAAUUUUGUCAAAUUUGUGUCACACGUGUUAUAAUUUGAUCUGAAGUGAAAUUGUAAUUCCUACUAAAUGUGAUUCCGCAGUUAACAUGUUAAAACACCUGUGUGUUAACAGUAUACGGAAAGGCUUGUGUCCUCAUAAACCAUGAGUAAACACACACGUACAAUAGUCACAUGUGUCCUCAUAAACCAUGAGUUAACACACACGUACAAUAGUCACAUGUGUCCUCAUAAAC